rnacentral:rRNA from 1 species
UACGUAGGGUGCGAGCGUUGUCCGGAAUUAUUGGGCGUAAAGAGCUUGUAGGCGGUUUGUCGCGUCUGCCGUGAAAGUCCGGGGCUCAACUCCGGAUCUGCGGUGGGUACGGGCAGACUAGAGUGAUGUAGGGGAGACUGGAAUUCCUGGUGUAGCGGUGAAAUGCGCAGAUAUCAGGAGGAACACCGGUGGCGAAGGCGGAUCUCUGGGCCAUUACUGACGUGAGGAGCGAAAGCGUGGGGAGCGAACAGG